rnacentral:piRNA from 1 species
GUGCCAGCCCUAUGAGUACCGAUUGGAC